AAGAAAAAUAAGGAAGGCUCAGGCUAUUCUGGUUCCUACUUUCACUUUUCUCCCCGCCUCCCCCUCCCCCUCCCAUCCAAUUUACAGAACCACGUGUGGGGUUCUACAUCUCCUUCCUCAGUUCUCCAGUUUCUUAUACAGUUUGGGUUUGAGGGGUUUUUUGGGUUUUUUUGUUUGUUUGUUUGCUUUUUUCUUUUCUUUUUUCCUUUUUCCUAUUUUUUCCCUCUCUCUCUUAAUGGUAAGAAAAUUAAUGCAGAGUGAGAAACGGGUCUGAAUUCGGAUCGCAGAGCCAACAGAAAGAGUACAGGACCUACAGAGCUAAUCAGACUUGCUGGACUAGCUGAUCCCCUGGGAUGAGCUGCUGACUACCUGAGAGAAUCCUAGCCUCCUAGCUCGGAGGGAACAGAGAAGCAUUGAGCAAGAAGCUAGGUUUUCACAGAGUGGACGCGAAAUCAACAAAGGAAAACCCUCCUGUCUGAGAACCGGUUUCUCAGCCUGGCUUGGAGGGGUAAGAGGAAUAGAUACAGCAGCAGUCUCCUGUCGUGGCCACUCUCCCCUUGCUCCCUCCUGCGCACCACCUUUUCACCAGAGUGGCUCUCCAGUCUAGCCAGCCUGCGGGGCUCCUAGCUUUGGCUUCCAGUAAAGCGCCAGCAGCCGUGACUCGGACACUUGGUGCUGAAACUAGAUCUUUCACCAAGGCUGGAGGCGAGGCGCCAGCCUAGAGCCAGAGGUGGCUGCCGCCCACGGUCCCCAGAACGUGGAGGGCAUCCUGGACCCCCAUCCCCCAGCUGACACAACCCUCCCCUUGGCCACCUUCAGGACCUCACCAGGUGUGGAGCGUUGAAACGCUUUGAAGAAGUGUGUUGCUAAUAGCCCAUAUAUAAUUGCAGAGAAGUCUUCAAUGGAAGCCCUUCGUGAGAUAAAUGGACAGUCUGUACUAGUGGGCUUUGAGUAUUCUUUUCAGAAGGAAAUAUUUCAUAAAGAAAUGAUACUGCUCUAUGAAACAUCUAAUAAUCUGCAGUACCAGGUUAUGUGAAGUGGAAAGAUCCAGCCUGCAUGUGGAAGACAUCUUUUGGAGUCCAGAUCAAAGGACAUAGAAGAAAGAUGCUUUCCCCUUCUCCUUGCUUGCCCCCACUUUUGCUGGCAAGUUCAUCUAGACUGUUAUUGUGACAUUCCUUUGCCAAUGUUAGAACCAGCUUCUUCAACCUUCCAAAUAGACUGAAG
ensembl:lncRNA